GGAGACACCCCGACUAUGCAAUCGCCCCCUUCAAAUCCUCCUUGGGGGCCUGAUCUGACUGAUGUCAGGGAGUGCCUACUGCUUCGAGGCAAGAAGCCUGAACUUUCCUCCCUGUCACUGUGAAUGCUUGGCCAGGGCUGUGAAUGUCACCAUUGCUUUUCAGGGAGAAGACAUGCCAGACUAGGGCUGCACCUUCUUUAUUGGCUCUGUAGGUCUAAAAGAAGUCAGAUCAGCCUGGGAUCCCUCAGCCAACCCUGAAGACAGGAUGGGGAUCACGCCUAAAUGUUAAAGAGAUUUCUGCCUUGUGUCUCAUGGUAAAUAAAAAACCCAGCAAAGAAGAUUCUCUCUUCAUUUUGUCAGCAAACAGCUCAUUGUCCUCUGGAUCUGCUGCGUCCUGCAGGAGCAUUGCGCUUAAACUAUGGGAAGCGGCACCUCCACCCAACAUCAUUUUGCUUUCCAGAAUGCAGAGAGAGCCUUCAAGGCAGCAGCCCUGAUCCAGAGAUGGUACCGGCGCUACG
rnacentral:sRNA from 1 species